ACGGCAGCACAGAGGAGCUUGCUCCUUGNGGUGGCGAGUGGCGGACGGGUGAGGAAUACAUCGGAAUCUACUCUGUCGUGGGGGAUAACGUAGGGAAACUUACGCUAAUACCGCAUACGACCUACGGGUGAAAGCAGGGGAUCUUCGGACCUUGCGCGAUUGAAUGAGCCGAUGUCGGAUUAGCUAGUUGGCGGGGUAAAGGCCCACCAAGGCGACGAUCCGUAGCUGGUCUGAGAGGAUGAUCAGCCACACUGGAACUGAGACACGGUCCAGACUCCUACGGGAGGCAGCAGUGGGGAAUAUUGGACAAUGGGCGCAAGCCUGAUCCAGCCAUACCGCGUGGGUGAAGAAGGCCUUCGGGUUGUAAAGCCCUUUUGUUGGGAAAGAAAUCCAGCCGGCUAAUACCUGGUUGGGAUGACGGUACCCAAAGAAUAAGCACCGGCUAACUUCGUGCCAGCAGCCGCGGUAAUACGAAGGGUGCAAGCGUUACUCGGAAUUACUGGGCGUAAAGCGUGCGUAGGUGGUCGUUUAAGUCCGUUGUGAAAGCCCUGGGCUCAACCCUGGGAACUGCAGUGGAUACUGGACGACGUAGAGUGUGGUAGAGGGU
rnacentral:rRNA from 1 species